GGCAAGAUGGCCGAGCGGUCUAAGGCGCCAGCUUCAGGUUAAGAUCUGUCCUGCUGGUGUGGAAACACGCGCGAGUUCGAAUCUCGUUCUUGUCA
rfam:Colletotrichum gloeosporioides Cg-14 contig02533, whole genome shotgun sequence.